UGCCCUCAUGUGGCCACGUGACGAGCCACAACGCGGGUGUUUUGCGGUUCCCUGGCUUUUUCUGGUCUGCCCAGAUUAUCUCCGACCUCCUACCUUGCCGGACGUUAAGAUUACUCACUUGGAAGCAGUUGUUCCCUGAAGGUCUGAGCUCAGAUUUCUACUGAUGGUGUAAAAAAAAGGAGAAAGCCAUUUGCACCAUCCUACUUUGGGCCAGCCCGGGGCUCCUCGCUCUCAUUUGCACUGCAUUCAAACCUUGGCCAUACGUACAGAACAGGCCACUCGCAGAGCAAAAGAAAAAUGGUGGCCGGGCCCGAGAAUCCAUACCCUCCUGUUGGCUGGAGAUUACUGAGAUCUACCAAAACUUGGAAAGCCACACCGGGAGAGGGGGCACCCGGAUUUGAACCGGGGACCUCUUGAUCUGCAGUCAAAUGCUCUACCAC